GCAAGUCGAACGAGAAAGUGAUCUUCGGAUCGCGAGUAGAGUGGCGCACGGGUGAGUACCACGUGGAUAACCUGCCCUAUUGUCUGGGAUAACACUCCGCAAGGGGUACUAAUACCGGAUAAGCCUACACAAUCUUCGGAGCGAGUAGGAAAAGAUUUAUUGCCAUAGGAUGGGUCCGCGGUCCAUUAGCUAGUUGGUGGGGUAAUGGCCUACCAAGGCUGCGAUGGAUAGCUGGUCUGAGAGGAUGAUC
rnacentral:rRNA from 1 species